rnacentral:rRNA from 1 species
GACGAACGCUGGCGGCGUGCUUAACACAUGCAAGUCGAACGGAAAGGCCCCUUCGGGGGUACUCGAGUGGCGAACGGGUGAGUAACACGUGGGUGACCUGCCCUGCACUUCGGGAUAAGCCUGGGAAACUGGGUCUAAUACCGGAUAGGACCGCAUCGUGAGGAUGUGGUGGAAAGUUUUUUCGGUGCAGGAGGGGCCCGCGGCCUAUCAGCUUGUUGGUGGGGUAAUGGCCUACCAAGGCGGCGACGGGUAGCCGGCCUGAGAGGGUGGACGGCCACAUUGGGACUGAGACACGGCCCAGACGCCUACGGGAGGCAGCAGUGGGGAAUAUUGCACAAUGGGCGCAAGCCUGAUGCAGCGACGCCGCGUGGGGGAUGAAGGCCUUCGGGUUGUAAACUUCUUUCAUCAUCGACGAAGGGCUCACUUGUUGUGGGUUUGACGGUAGGUGGAGAAGAAGCACCGGCUAACUACGUGCCAGCCGCCGCCGUAACAC